rnacentral:rRNA from 1 species
ACUCCUACGGGAGGCAGCAGUGGGGAAUAUUGCACAAUGGGCGCAAGCCUGAUGCAGCCAUGCCGCGUGUGUGAAGAAGGCCUUCGGUUGUAAAGCACUUUCAGUUGUGAGGAAGGUGGUGUCGUUAAUAGCGGCAUCAUUUGACGUUAGCAACAGAAGAAGCACCGGCUAACUCCGUGCCAGCAGCCGCGGUAAUACGGAGGGUGCGAGCGUUAAUCGGAAUUACUGGGCGUAAAGCGCAUGCAGGUGGUUUGUUAAGUCAGAUGUGAAAGCCCGGGGCUCAACCUCGGAACUGCAUUUGAAACUGGCAGACUAGAGUACUGUAGAGGGGGUAGAAUUUCAGGUGUAGCGGUGAAAUGCGUAGAGAUCUGAAGGAAUACCGGUGGCGAAGGCGGCCCCCUGGACAGAUACUGACACUCAGAUGCGAAAGCGUGGGGAGCAAACAGGUUUAGAUACCCUGGUAGGACAGAG